AUUGAACGCUGGCGGCAGGCCUAACACAUGCAAGUCGAACGAGUGGCGGACGGGUGAGUGAUUUCUGGGCACCUGCCUGAUGUAGCGGUCUAACUACUGGAACCGUUAGCUAAUACCGCUUACCAUCCUAUGUGCCCUGGUGGGAUUAGCUAGUUGGUGGGGUAACGGCUCACCAAGGCGACGAUCCCUAGCUGGUCUGAGAGGAUGACCAGCCACACUGGAACUGAGACACGGUCCAGACUCCUACGGGAGGCAGCAGUGGGGAAUCUUGGACAAUGGGCGAAAGGCUGAUGCAGCAAUGCCGCGUGAAUGAAGAAGGCCUUCGGGUUGUAAAGUACUUUCAUCGGAGAGGCGUUACCCGAAGAAGAAGCACCGGCUAACUACGUGCCAGCAGCCGCGGUAAUAC
rnacentral:rRNA from 1 species